UACGGGGGGGGCAAGCGUUGUUCGGAAUUACUGGGCGUAAAGGGCGCGUAGGCGGCCACUGCAAGUCGGUUGUGAAAUCUCCGGGCUUAACCCGGAAAGGUCAAUCGAUACUGCAGGGCUAGAGUGCGGAAGGGGCAACUGGAAUUCUCGGUGUAGCGGUGAAAUGCGUAGAUAUCGAGAGGAACACCUGCGGCGAAGGCGGGUUGCUGGGCCGACACUGACGCUGACAGCGCGAAAGCUAGGGGAGCGAACGGG
rnacentral:rRNA from 1 species